rnacentral:lncRNA from 1 species
CACUUCUUGCUCUUUCGCCAGGCUGGAGUGCAGUGGUGCAAUCUUGGCUCACUACAACCUCCGCAUCCUGGGUUCAAGCGAUUCCCCUGCCUUAGCCUCCCGAGUAGCUGGGACUACAGGCACGCGCCACCACACCUGGCUAAUUUUUUUGUUUUAGUAGAGACGGGGUUUCACCAUGUUGGCCAGGAUGGUCUUGAUCUCCUGACCUCGUGAUCUGCCCACUUCGGCGUCCCAAAGUGCUGGAAUUACAGGCAUGAACCACCACGCCCAGCCUAAG